UAAAUUGGUAAUUUUGCACAUUCAUUUCAUGUUGGCAUGCACAUGUGGCAGCCUAUGAUGCAGCAGAAAGUGGCAAAAAAAAAGUAGAAAAGCUUCUCUCUCCAAUGGAGUACAAUCCUAAGAAAGGUAUUUGGCUAAUUGUCAAACCUAAAAAUAGCAAAUAGUUAAAUUCUCCAUCCAAACGUGAAGCAGAACCGGAAGCAUGCGGACAAGUCCCCAUCCCCUUCCUCCCUUCCCGCCAUGUGAGCCCCUGCCGGUGAAGAAGAACUACUGGCAAGCGGUGGACAAGUCUUCAGGCCAUGCCAGGUUUGCGGUGCUAUAGGCUUGGACCUUCACUCCUCAUGCGUCCAGGUUGCUCCUAGUCCCUCUUCCGCUUCUGUUGCGUGGGCAUUACCGGGGCUGAUUCUGGCCCGGGCAUUGACAAGAGCACCGCUACAUCGAUCGUUGAUGGUAGGGAAGACUGUUAAUGCCGGAUUUUGAAUAAUUACUGUUGAAGAUUAAACUAUGAUUAAAAACCGAAUCGGAUAAAAAACAAGGCAAUCAAACAGAGGUUAAUAGGUUAAUGGGACUGCAAUUUGGAUUCUACCGAUGGAGUUUGAAUCAGACAGGAGACAGAGUCCGAUUGGACCUAGGGAAGCUUGCGGGUAGAUUCGAGAUUAAUAAGAGUCCGUGUAAACUAGUUUAUCAAUAUUUUAGAGUUUGUUUAGAAUUUUAUCUCCAAUUAGAGUCCGUGUGUAAUAGAUUAGUUAUUAAGUAUGGAUCUAUAUCCGGUUAGGUUAGUUAUUUCUCGGGAUAUAAAUAAGGUAUCCCGUAGCUUUGUAAAAACAAUCAGCAAUUCCAUACACACAUCUUCAGCGCAUCGCCAACUUUUUGAUAGGAGCAAACUCUCGGCGCGAGGUUUGUCAGCUUUGCAAUGUAGUUCGUGUUUGUCAACUCGUCGAUCGGCUAGUUAGGACUUUCUCGAUUUAGUUUAAUCUCCUGCCUAGAUGUUCGACGAUUUACCUGAGA
rnacentral:lncRNA from 1 species